ACUCUCCAGUUCCCUUACCCAUCAGAUCUUAAGACUGAUUUGAGCCUUAAAAAAAGAAGGGAAAUUAAAAUUGACACCAUGUUUUGUGAUGCACGAGCUGGUUUCAAACAAUU
rnacentral:snoRNA from 1 species